AUACGGAGGGUCCGAGCGUUAUCCGGAAUCAUUGGGUUUAAAGGGUCCGUAGGCGGGAAUCUAAGUCAGUGGUGAAAUCUUGCAGCUCAACUGUAAAAUUGCCAUUGAUACUGGAUUUCUUUAAUUAGUGUGAAGUGGUUAGAAUGUGUAGUGUAGCGGUGAAAUGCAUAGAUAUGACACAGAAUACCAAUUGCGAAGGCAGAUCACUAACACUAUAUUGACGCUAAGGGACGAAAGCGUGGGGAGCGAACAGGAUUAGAAACCCCGGUAGUCC
rnacentral:rRNA from 1 species